CAGGCCGAGAGGCAACUGUUGUCACUGUCAUUACACAACACAGCAACACAGCAAAAGCAGCAACAACAACAAAUGACAAGCCUCUAGUCUGCAAAUUGUUGUUGUUGGCAGCAUCGGGUUGAUUUUCAUGCCGCAUUGUCAUCACAUUUCUGAAUGUAUCCAACGAGUACUCGCACUCAAAAGUAUUCAUCCACAUCCACAGUGGCUGCCAUUGUCUGUGGACUUUGCGAGGCCUUCAAAAUGGAUGCGACAAACAACACACGUGUGACAACAGAAGAAGACAACACAAGACUCAACUCGACUCGGUUUUUGCUGAAAGUUGGAUUAUAAAAUGUGAAAUAACUUUGAUAUAUAACUAUUGAAAUAAUUGCAAAAGAAAGGAUGUUUGAAACAUGUUCUUCGCCUACUUUGCAAACUGUUAAGCAGUAAAUAUAAUUUACAAGAAUAACAAACUAAAGACAACGCUGUUGACCGCAGGCCCAACACGCAACUUCCGCUGCAAAUUCGUCUUUUCCGCAUGCGAGACAACAACAACAACAACAAUGAAAAUAAUGAAAAUAUUUUGUAAUAAAGGCAACACUGUACAACAUAAUCCACGCUCAGGUGAGAAUGAUAAUCGCCUGACUAACUGUGAAUUAUAUCAGUGAACUGCUCCGCAGGGAAAUUCAACAGA